AAAAUGGAUUUUCCUAAAUAUACUUACACUGUUAGGCUGCUGCUGCUGUCAACUCUCUUACCACUUUUUAGAUAAAAAUAUAUCCUGCUUUACUUCCAAUCUGUAAAAGUCAGCGACUGAUAGUUAAUUGCUCAGUCAUGUAGCGUGUACAGCUGCAGACCAAAUAAUGUCUGCUCGCUCCCCAAGCUUAUUUUAAGUGUGUUCUCAUGGGUGCCUCUAUAAUUCCCUCCACUCCAUCCCUUAGCCAGACAUCAUCUCUCCCCAUCCCCUGAACCAAUUUGUUCUAUUUUUGUUGCUGCUUUAGAUUUAAGGUAAUGAUGAGCCUUUUGUCCUUGGUCUCCAGACAACUGAAAAUCUGGGUCUGGGUUCUUUCGUCUGUUCCAUGCACAAAAAUGUGCCUGCACUGAGCCCACUGCUUCCUCAGCUGGGCCUAAAAAGAGCAGGUUUUAUAUGUACAUGUCUAAUGGCAAAAAUCUGCAUGGUUUCCAGCAUACAAGUAUUUUCAAUAUUUAUGAUGCACAAGUGUCUCUUUCAACACCAAGAUGAUCAAUAAGAUCCCAUCAUUUUAACAGGAACAUUCACAGACAUAUGUUAAAUAUUUCAUAGUGCUUACAGAUUUCUGGGUACAGUAUAUUUUUAUUCAUUUAUGUUUGCUAAGUCUCAAGACCAUUUUUGCAUUAUUAUAUCACUAAUAAAAGCACAAACUUGCUAGGACUUUAAUGCAGAUGCAUAAAGGGUAUUUUUAGUGUGCUUUUAGGGGGGUAUUCCAGAAAUCUAAAAGGCUAAUAGUCUAAAUUUUUCUUCAGGUACUUUUGAAAAAUCCUACUAUUCAAAAUUAUUUCUCACUACCUAAAUACUUCUAUUAGAAAUAAGACUUGAGAAUUCAUAUGUUUCAGGCGCUCUGACAACAAAAAUUCUAUUUCAAGUAAAAAAAUGAAACAACCAAAUGACAAAGCCAGCUAAGAGGAAAAAAAAAUCUACAUUUUUUUUCCCUUCCAUGUCAAAGCAGGUCUCUAGAUAGGAUAUCAGUGCUUAUAGCUGAAAAUCUCACGUUCUCUUUGCAAACACCGAACUGAGCAACUACAGUCAGAGGGCUGCAGUGUGGUACAAUACAGGUUAAUCAUGAGAUGUUUUAUUUGCUUCUCACAAUUGUCUUCUAGAUUAUCUUAUUGCAUCAAGGAUCAGCGGGAAGGGCUGUUAACAGUUGUGUCCAAAGAGAGAGAGAUGCCACUGCUCGGACCUGGACUUUUGGAUCAUGCACCAGUUCCAUCCAUUGGCUGAGAGGAGACAUCGUCGGCGUUCCAAAAGAAACCAGAGUUAUCCAGCCCUGUCCCACACAAGGGGGCCCUCCUAGGAGGGCUAGAUUUGAGAUCAGGAAGGGGUAAGGGUCUUUCCCAGCCCCCCAAGAUUGCAGGAAGCUGCACUGCAGCCACUGACUGGGCAUGACCAUGCUCAGUGUGCAGAACUUUUUGCUGACAUCUCCUUUAAACUGCUCUCACUGAAACUUGUGUCUUUUGUCUCUUCCCCUUUUACUGCACAUCUCUGAGAGGAGUCUGGCUGUAUUUUCUCUCUAGCUCUUCAUUCCCCUUUCUGUGAAAGGCAGAAUUUCUUCCCUUGAAACAACACUUUCAUAAUUCAAAAGUUAUUUGCCUUUUAAUAUAGAUAGUGGGUUAAAGCAUGGUUAAGGAAAUUUUUGACAGACUGCAACAGUCAUGUGGGACAAUGGCACACAUACACAUUCCCCAAAUUAAAUCAACCAGUUUCCCAGAGCAAGGCAAAACAGAUUCAAAGACAUCAGGAACUGGCUGUUCUAGUUAGAAAUUACUCAGUCUACACUUGUAGAAGAUGCUCUGUAAACCUACCAAAGCUAACAAAGGCCACAGAGCAACAAAGAGGUCUAAAGGGAAAAUUAUUUAAUGCAGCAAGCUGCUCACCAAACUGUUACAUCAUUAAAUGGGAAAACUGCAACAGAGCAAAGUUGUUUGUGAGAGAUCAUGUCUCACUGCUCCUUAUGACUGCUAACAAUAUUGGUGCUCUCUGGAAAAAUAAUUAUGACUCCAAAAAUGUUCCUGACACAUUGCAAACAUAUACAACAGCAGCCAUAACUUCACUGCUAUUUAUUACAAAGCAAAACCUUUUAAUACAAGUAGACAAAGAAUAAAACCAAAGUAGAGCAGUGCAGGAUUUCCUUAUGAUCAUUUUUAUUCAUGGCAUUUAUUUAUUUGCUUUUUAAAUUACUCACAGAGAAGGAACUCCCCCCUGUCUUUCCAAUGGAAGACUUGUCACCCAGCAAAUUCACAGCUGGAGGUCUUUAUCUCCUUUAUCUCAAAAAGCCUAAAAGACUAAAUUAUUUACAAUUUAACUAUAACCUAAUUCCAAAGGAAUUGUGCUUGUGCAGCAUUUUCUAGCAGUUUAUGCAAGCACAGGCCAGCUGAGAACAAACAAGGCAUUAGCUGCAUACAAUUCCAGAUUCCUAAUUAACCAUACACACUACAACAAGCAGCAGCACUGCACUAAACAAGUUAACAUGCAAAUUAUGCUUGUACCAAGCCAAAGUUACAGAGACAACAGAAUUUGGAAGCACAGCAGAAGAACCAGGACUGGUUUAAACUCACCUUCAUAAUUAGGUAAUCCAAUUUGCUUUCCUAAACAUUUGUAUAAUAACAGCAUAUAAAUGCUAAAACCAAUCUACAGUGUUGCUUUUGUUACUGUAAAAAUAGAAGGAUUAGUGGCAAAGCCUUUGGGCUCAUGAAGAAGUAACCCUCUAUUUGCACAAUCUUUCAUAUGCUUUAUAGACAUAUCCAGACAUCAGAUGUACCUUUCAUCCAAAUACCUUCCCAUGCUCACAUAAGAUCUGCCUCAGAACUGAACACAGAAUCCAUCUAAGGCAAUAUGUUUUCCAACUAUACAAGUUUAUACAGUUCCAUAGAAAUAAAUUAAAAAGUCACCAAGAGCAUCCUUCUGUUCUGGAAGAAAUGGAACAACCAGGAAUUGUGACACUCAAUGGAAAUAUGUCAUAAUUUAAAAUAUCAUUUCAACAAUUUUGUGUUUUCCUGAAAUGAAACCUGUUCAAACUGCUGUGCAUCCAGAAAAACAGAAUAACAUAGCACGUGUUAAAAAUGGAUCCUAAACCACACUCCUCCUGCCUCAAAGGCAGGGCUUUAGGCUAUAUCUGGAUUAAGAGGAAAAACUGAGUAGGAUUUAAUUGCUGGGAUGACAAGAAUGGCUGCAGGGCACGAGGGCAGGGAAGCAGCAAUGCUCAGCAAUCACUGGCUCUUCUGCAUCCUGCAGUGCUGUGUGGACCUUACAGCCUUCAGCUUAAGCCAUUCCCCAUGAUCAGAACAGUCACAGCUCCUGUGCUGAAUUACUUAGUCACUGGCAGUGCUGCAGGACAGGUCACAUCCAUCAAACCAAGCACAACCUGCCCAGAAAGAUUUACAGCUGCUGUGCAGGACAGCUGCUCACACCAGGGAGGGACAGCCCAGACCUGCCAACCCCUGUGUCCAUGAGUCCUGGAGAAGGAAAAGGCAACCAGACAGCAUCUUAACUUCUUUAUUGUUCUUCAAAGGGGGAAAAAAACUGGGGGAAAAAAAUACAUGCAUCUACACUGCAAUAUUCAGUAUUUUGCAACUGGAAAAAAAAGAAACAAGCGAAGCAACCCAGGAGCCAUGGGUAGGACCACAACACAAUUAUUCCAAACCAAUCUCCAUCAGAGAAACAAAACAACUAAACACUUGCCGUUCACACGUGCCUGCUCCUGCCGAGCUUUUCCUCCUGGAGCACAGGAACUCCUCACAAGGUGGCAUCAGCACUGAGCAGGUGUGGCUGGGUACAGAAGACCCACAAGUCUAAUUUCAUUUCACUGCAGUUCAGAGCAGAAGAAUGUAAAAAUAGGAUUGCACUGAGGCCACUUCUGCCCCUUUUAACAUUUCCAGUAGUGAAAAGCAGACAGAUGAAGGGAUUAUUUGGAUAGGUGGGUGGGAGUACUGUAUGAGCACUCACACAAACACUGGUGACAGACAUGGGCCCUUUCUAUAAUACUGACUAUAAACUUAUCUGAAAUAUUGCAGUGGAGAACUCAGCCCUUAACAGGGGUACAGAACCAGAAGAUCUGUAAAUUAGGGACAAGAAAAGCAUCAAUGAAAAUCAGUGACUACUUGCCAUAAUCAUAUCUGAUUUGAGCCCUUUUGGAGCAAGUUCCUGCCUCUCAAGGAACUAAUUUUGUAAAAGCUAUUAACUAUUAGCAGUCCAGAAACCCUGGGCAGGACAAAUAAACAAAUCAAUAACUGAUGCCCCUCCAUCAGCUGCACAGUGCGGAUCACUAAUUAAGAGACAGCUGAGAAAGAGCUAGAAAGUGAAGUAUAAGGAUAUAAUCUAACAUUA
rnacentral:lncRNA from 1 species